rnacentral:rRNA from 1 species
AUACGUAGGGUGCGAGCGUUGUCCGGAAUUACUGGGCGUAAAGAGCUCGUAGGUGGUUUGUCGCGUCGUCUGUGAAAUUCCGGGGCUUAACUCCGGGCGUGCUGGCGAUACGGGCAUAACUUGAGUACUGUAGGGGAGACUGGAAUUCCUGGUGUAGCGGUGAAAUGCGCAGAUAUCAGGAGGAACACCGGUGGCGAAGGCGGGUCUCUGGGCAGUAACUGACGCUGAGGAGCGAAAGCAUGGGUAGCGAACAGGAUUAGAUACCCUGGUAGUCCAUGCCGUAAACGGUGGGCGCUAGGUGUAGGGGUCUUCCACGACUUCUGUGCCGUAGCUAACGCAUUAAGCGCCCCGCCUGGGGAGUACGGCCGCAAGGCUAAAACUCAAAGGAAUUGACGGGG